rnacentral:rRNA from 1 species
GACGAACGCUGGCGGCGUGCUUAACACAUGCAAGUUGAACGGAAAGGCCCUGCUUUUGUGGGGUGCUCGAGUGGCGAACGGGUGAGUAACACGUGAGUAACCUGCCCUUGACUUUGGGAUAACUUCAGGAAACUGGGGCUAAUACCGGAUAGGAGCUCCUGCUGCAUGGUGGGGGUUGGAAAGUUUCGGCGGUUGGGGAUGGACUCGCGGCUUAUCAGCUUGUUGGUGGGGUAGUGGCUUACCAAGGCUUUGACGGGUAGCCGGCCUGAGAGGGUGACCGGCCACAUUGGGACUGAGAUACGGCCCAGACUCCUACGGGAGGCAGCAGUGGGGAAUAUUGCACAAUGGGCGGAAGCCUGAUGCAGCAACGCCGCGUGCGGGAUGACGGCCUUCGGGGUGUAAACCGCUUUCGCCUGUGACGAAGCGUGAGUGACGGUAAUGGGUAAAGAAGCACCGGCUAACUACGUG